AUGACCAUAGUAAUACAAUCAGUAUCGCCCCCUCUCCAUCAAAUUAUAUGAGUAUGUGUCUUAUUCUCCCAUCCAAUAUAUCUGCUCGAAUUAUGUGUUUAUUUGCUGUUUUCAUAUAGAACUUCUGUUCUUGUAUAAUAUUUUAACAUCACUGGCAAUCAUUGUUAGGGUGCGGUGAUGGUUGGCAUUCUGUUUGAUGCGGGCUGCAUCUACUCCCACGACAACGGUCAGCAACUAGGUGUUCACCAUCGGAGUUCUUCAGUAUCGCCCCCUCUCCGUCAUGAUACGAUGUUGCUUCCAACUCAUGGAUAUGAAUGUUCCAGUCGCCGGAGAGAUUGUUGGACAGAUGAAAUUGAUGAGAAAUCUUUGCCCCCCUGCAAAUUAAGCAGCUUGAAGACCAAGCUCAAACCUGUACGAUGGCACUGAAGUUGCGCCUCCAAAUCUCUUUGCAUCUUGAUGUAAUUAGCCCAGUAGUAUUCAGUUCUGUAGUAAUGAUUUGUGAUUUUUCCUGCUGCUGGUUACCGAGUGCCAAGUGGCAUUUAGUUUCUCCAAAGGAAUUUCAUUUGUACUCGUAUGGAUGAUUUUUAUUACGUGAGAUAUUUUGUGGAAUCAUCAGUUUUUUUUCUACAUGGAAUAUAUUUAUUUGGCUUUGUUA